rnacentral:tRNA from 1 species
GUUGUCUUUAGCUUAUUUGGUAAAGUGUCACAUUGUGAAUGUGAGGAACAGGGUUCGAUUCCCGGAGACAAUCA